rnacentral:rRNA from 1 species
GAUGAACGCUGGCGGCGUGCUUAACACAUGCAAGUCGAACGAAGCGAGUUAGAUGAAGUUUUCGGAUGGAAUUUAAUGAGCUUAGUGGCGGACGGGUGAGUAACGUGUGGGCAACCUGCCCUUUACUGGGGAAUAAUCAUUAGAAAUGAUGACUAAUACCGCAUGUCGUCACCGGAGGGCAUCCUCUGGUGAAAAAAGGAUUUAUUCGGUAAAGGAUGGGCCCGCAUCUGAUUAGCUAGUUGGUGAGAUAACAGCCCACCAAGGCGACGAUCAGUAGCCGACCUGAGAGGGUGAUCGGCCACAUUGGGACUGAGACACGGCCCAAACUCCUACGGGAGGCAGCAGUGGGGAAUAUUGCACAAUGGGCGAAAGGCCUGAUGCAGCGACGCCGCGUGAGCGAAGAAGUAUUUCGGUAUGUAAAGCUCUAUCAGCAGGGAAGAAAAUGACGGUACCUGACU